UACGAAGGGGGCUAGCGUUGUUCGGAAUCACUGGGCGUAAAGGGCGCGUAGGCGGCUUUGUAAGUCGGGGGUGAAAGCCUGUGGCUCAACCACAGAAUUGCCUUCGAUACUGCAUGGCUUGAGACCGGAAGAGGUAAGUGGAACUGCGAGUGUAGAGGUGAAAUGCGUAGAUAUCUGGAGGAACACCGGUGGCGAAGGCGGCGUUCUGGACUGCAACUGACACUGAGGAACGAAAGCCAGGGGAGCAAACGGG
rnacentral:rRNA from 1 species